ensembl:lncRNA
GGAAACUGAGUUUUGUUCUACGUAGUAAGCACCCAUCUUAACCCUGCUGGAGCAGAACAGCCCUUUUCCUAGCAGAAACCAGAGCUGUUGUUGAUUAAUGUCUUGCUGAAAACUAAGUCUUUGCCAUCUGUUCCGCCCCCUCACUACGAAUGCCACUCUCAUUAUGUUGAUUAUGUAAUUAAAAAUGAAAAUAUAUUUUGGUAAGAGUGCUGCAUAGGCAUCUGUGCUUAUUCUUCUGUUCCUGUUCACUGCCCCCUGCCCCCGUCCCAUACAGAAGGGAAAAGACAACAAUUGUUCCACUCGGCAGUGGCUUUAUAUUGAAGCUGUCGCACUGGCUGCCAGACUGGUGCACGUCAUGGGAGCAGCCACUCGAGCCCCGCUGUGUCUGAGCUGCGGCUCCUUCGGAAACCCCGGCUAUUAGGUUCAUGAGAAAUCCGUGGCAGGAAGCUGACCCUUAAACCAAGGCUCCUUUAAGUUCUUGUGAUGGGUUAACUUGAAUCCAGAACAUGAAAAGAGAAGAGAAAGAGGCCUGGCUACUUCAUAAGAGAUAGUGUGACCUCUGAGAUCAGCGAGGCUGCUCAUGUUACAAAUAUGGCCUGUCUAUCUAAGGACCGAGGAAGAGAAAGAGAGGAGGGGUAGCCUUCUUGUAAGUGGGUUAGAGCAAUUACUGAGGUCUCUUACAGCAAAUGAAGUCGUUAGUGUGAGUCACGUUCCCUUUUUUCCUCUCUGCUGCCAAGUUUUAAGCAGUAACCAGACAGGGAGGAAAAAAAGGGAAAAGCAACAAUGGAGAAGAGUUGAACUGAAACAACCCUUCAUUCAGGGUAUUGUUUGACAUUUUAGUUCUGAUUGUACAUAGAGAUAAAGGACCUAUAAAUAUCCUGUCUGCUGAAAUUCCUUAUAACAACAUCGCCUGUCAGCUGAACAAAUAGGUUAGGUUCUCUAAAUACUACCUAAUUACACAUGUAAAUACAAAUUACUGAUUGUAUCCCUGCACCGCGUGGAAUGAAGGCCUGAUCACUGGGAGGAACAUUAAUCUCCUGUUUUACUGAGAUGCCCCAGUCCCAGGAGAGCAAAUGGCACAUACAGCUAUUACUGCUGAAUUGGUGCAAGUUCCGAGAUCAGACUGAAGCAAGCAAGGAGAUAUUUAUCUGGCUGAUGAACGUAGAUGAAAGCCUCUUCUGACGCUUCUGAAAGUAUCUCAGCAUCUAGUUCUGUUUAACAAAUGGCUGGAAGCUUUUCUACUCUGCUUCAGAGCUUUUAAUGAAGCAUUGUGAUUCCCAUUGUGGUCGACUGUUUGACAGUUUUAUUAUUACUGGUAUGCAUAGCGUUUUUUAAUGUUUGACAGCUGGAGAAAGAAGUAUUUUGUGCAUUCAAAUUUUUAGUACAAAGCUGCUGUUUUCUAUUCUGCCUUUGCCUUUGUCUCUUAUUGCUGAUGCGAAUCAAUGAAAGACAGAACUGAUGAAAUUACAUUUGUUUACUUUUUACUUGAUAAUAAUAAGACACAGCCAGCCCUUUGUAAAAGACAGAAAUGGGGGAUGUGAAUGUUUCUACAGUAUUUCUGUGUGGUUUUUUUUUUUUCUUAUAGCAUAAAGGCAUUUAUUUGUUUCUUAUGUCUUGAUUUAUAAGAUAAUGUGCACUUCCUAAUGUAUGUGGAAUAAGAAUGGAGCAAUGAAUGACAGUUAGCAAUGGAUUCCACUUGAAAAUCUCUUAGCUUGUUAUUUUUAUUAAUUCAACAGCAUAAACGCUCGUAGCACAUCACAAAACAAACACCAAGAUAGUUCUGUGAUUCACAGUAGGACUGCCUCUGAUCACUGCUGUAUAUUUGUAUGUAGCUACACAAAAAAGUCCAGUCCACUGGCUUUGGCUUUAUACACACGUGAUUGUUACCAGGCCCCAGCUUUGAUAUAUUGGUACAAUACUGGAAAGAAACAAGCUGCAGAAAUCAGAUAUCCAUGGUUGUUUUGGUGAGUAACGUGCAUGUCUUGUGGAUUGUGUAAUGCAUUUUUUGGGUUUUUUUUUUUUUUUUUGAAUGCUUGCCCUAAGACAGGAGGCCUACAUUUGUCUGCCUGCCUUGUGCAGCAUGCUUGUGUUUUUGCAUGUACGUUUCUAGAUGUCAAGAGCUGCAACAGAAAGGUUUUGGGAGGGAUAAAAAGCAGAAACAGGAGAGGAAGAUGAUGAGCAGAAGGGAGGUGGUAAGGGAGGCACUUACACAACUGCUCUCCUGAUGACUGUUUCCUGUGUUUUGGCCAGAAAGGAGAAAAGUGCAUCAAAGAAUGGCAAAGCCAACAGGUGUCUGAAGGCUCCUCAGCAGUGGAGCCAAAUUUCCCUGCUUCACAGGCAAAGCGAGACUCAAGAGUGCUAUCACAUGGCAGCUGAGCCAAACCUAAUGAAUUGCUAGUAUCAAAAAGGACAGCCCUACUGCUCUCUUUUUGUGCAGGUCUGGUGCUUGUCUGACCCUUUGAUGAAUUUAUGCAGCUCAAUAAACUUUAAGAAAAUGAAUUCAGCAAAAAAUAGCGAAGCUAUCAGUCCAGGAAGGGAGGAGGGGAGAUACUGUGAGAGUCAAACCUGGAACUGCAGUGGUGGGGAGAGGUAUGGAUGUCAGAUUUUUGCUGCAGAUUUGGGGUGUGCUGGAGGAUGCCCUGCUGCUACCCUAUACUUAACCUCCCUCUUCAUCUCCUAGGUUGUGCCUUCCCUCAGAAGAGGACACGCUGAAUACGGAGUGAUUAAGACAGAUGCCUGGACAGGUGAAGGGAGGUGUUCCAGCAGUGGCAGUGCACACAGCAGAGGAGGGAACAAAUUGCUGCAAGACUGCAGGAGCCCAGGAGGAUGUUGCCAUGGGCAUAUGUUUAUCCAAAUUGGGUUUUGAUAAGAAGACUGCAGCUGGAUCUUUAUUAUCUGAGACAAGUGGCGAUAUUAGCUGUUCAGAGUUCAUGAUGGAAAUGUAUCUGCAUACUGGCGUGCAUCCAGCUGCACUUCACAAAGGUAAGUGGGACAUGAGAGUGCUGCAUUGCUCUUCUUUAACCCAUUUGCUGUAGAAGGGGGUACUGUGCCUCUCUGCAGGAAAGGCUGGUGGAACUACUGUGCUAAUAAACACACAUUUCUUGCUGCAGCAUAUGGGCUUCCCAGAUUCAUAAACCCAAGCAAUUCAUAGAUGAAUUACAAUUAAAUAUCCACACACACUUCCGUACUGCAGCCUAACAUGAGAGGCAUAGGCCUAAGUGUCUGGGCAUCUGCUGUCUGCUCUCCUGCACACACUGCUUGGCAGAGCACAGCCCCUUAAUCUUACUCCACCUCCAUUAAUUGUACCUUCAAAAUCAGAUGCACAGUGUCAUUCUAUAGAUGUUUUGCCAUGUUCUUCCAAGAGCAGCAUUCUCUCCUGCUCUCUCUUUUCCCUUUCCUUCUUCUUCCUUUUAUUUAUUUAUUGGACUGGAUGAUCCUGUGGGUCUUUUCCAACCUUAGCGAUUCUAUGAUUCUAUGAUUUGUUUGUUUGUUUGUUUGUUUAUUUAAGCAGCCCUUAUUGUCAAAUAGUCAGAAAUACUUUCAUUGCUGCUGGUCUUUUUGCCAAAAGAUUUCCAGGCCAAAGGUUCACUUGGGCUCUGAUAAUGACAGUGGGAAAUGAGGGCACCGAUGGAUCCCCACAACAAUUUUGUGUCACUUGUACAAGACCCAUAGGCUCAGUACUGUAGUAAGAUAAUGUAGCACUUGAUUACAAUGGAUGUAUUGCACUUACAGAAGGCAUCUUGUCGUGGGGCUCUGCAUAUCUGAAGUAAUAACCGCUGAUGUCAGGUAAGACAAUGGUAAUGGAAGCAGAUAAUUUUCCCAUUGUUAAAAUGCUAUAAAAGUCUUAAUUACAUGAAAUUUAGCUAGAUCUAGUGCUGGUGGCUGGAGGGAACAUCCUUCUGAGGUUCAGCCUUUCUCUUAGUCUGAUGAGAGCUAUUUAAAGAAGAAAGAAUUAUAUGUAAUUAUUACCCAUCUUGAGUUUCCAGGCAGCAAGGUUACCACAUGAAACUGCCAUUCAGAUAUUCUCAUUUGUCCCAGAAAGCUUGAACAAAGAUUUAUAAUCUGCUCUGAACUUAACGAGCCUCCUUCAGUGGUGAAGCCGCAUGAGGCACAAGAGCUGUCUUCUGCACAGUUGUAUAGCCACCUAACACAGUGCUUAUUCUCUUAUGGAUGUAGCAGACAACUUUGUCCUCUACCCCAUGUUCCUGUCAGUCACAGGAUAAGUUCUAGCCACUAUUGCAAGAACAUCCUAAACCAGUCUGCAAUUUGUAUUUCCUUGCCAAAGAUCUUAUCUGCUGCGGGUGCAAGUUGCACCAGAAAGGUUGCUGGUGCUGAAAAAUGUGCACUCCUCUGUUUCACAGCUCUGCUUUGUCAGGCUAGGUUAACUCACCUACAAGAGCUGGACUGAGCUGUCCUGUGUGAAAGCUCAUGCAGCAAGGCAGUGCUGCUCUGAUCGUGGGAGCAAUGUCUGUAUUUGAUUGGUCACCUCAGAACUUGCCGAUUAUUGUUCUUAGGAGCAGGCUGUACUUUUGCCAUCAUCAUGUCAGGCUCUGUGCUGCGUUUCUGCAGAAGUUCAUGCUUCGUAUUCCUAUGUUUGCAAAAAUGACAAAUGCUGAGAGUAAAAAUUUAUUCAAAUGAAUUGCUAUUUACAUAUUUACAGGGGAAAAAAAAGUAUGCCAGGGAUCCAAUGACCCUAUGAGAGAUGCGGUGUGGAUUUCAGUGGGACAUGGACUGGGCCUCAUAAGCUGCUUGUCUCACACCAACAACCCCCUGAUACUAUCAUGAAAACUUCCCGUUUACAGCGACAGGUGCCGCAGGGGGCUGUAUACUUGGAUAUUAUUAAUUCUUUCCUUAGGAGUGUUUAUUAACAAAUGCUUGCAAGUUGUAUGGUGUGGUGUGGUGUAAACAGGAAGCACUCCAAGGUACUGCAUUGCCCAUGUAAUGCAGCACAUAUUCCAACAGCUUGGCUUUUUUUUUUUCCAAAAUACUGCGACACCACUUCCUUCAAGAAGUCUCUCCUGCCUGCGUGGCUCAUUUCUGCUAUAGAUAUGCAAAGCUGCAAAAGAACCGAUUGUUUUAAAAAUGAAUGUUGAUUUGCUAGACUGGGAACUGAUGUCUGUAAUUUAUAUCCUAUCUUUAAAGUUAUGCAGUACAGACUCUUUGGGCGCUCUGAUCAGCAGACUGAACAAAGCGCAAGAGAAGAGGCUGCCACCUUUCCUCCUGCAGCAUAGUGUUGCCUGGAGAGCAGCGAUGCAGACUGCCCUGCAGGUACUGCAGUGCAUCUCAGCCCAAGCCCUGGGGCAGUGCCUCUUCUGCCACUCUGUGCCAGCAGGCUGGGCUCUGACCGGUGCAGGGAAACAGUUGUUCCAUUUCCAGUCAGCUCUUGUUGUCUGCCAAGAGCAGCAAUGGGAAAGCUAAGAGUGACCGUUCAUAUGUGGAAACUUUAUAUUCACAAUAACGGCGCUGAGGCCUCCAAGCUGUCUCAUAAGGGCUCCAUGCUCUUGUUGUGUGAUGUACCAGUGCUGUCUGUAUUCUGGGCUUUUAUGUGAGCAUCUCAGAAUCCCACUGGCACACUGUUUCCUAUGCCUUGUUCAGACAGUGCUAUGUACAACAGGAGCAGACAGCGGGGAAUUAUACUUGUGCCACCACAAGAUCACUACCUACAUGGUUGUUAUAAACCAAAACGAGUGCUAAGAACAUCACUUGAAAUGAAGUUCUAGUAGCAUUGUCAUGAAGGUUUGGUAUCAUUUCCUAAACUGGUUCUCAGUGAAGGUGCUUCUGUGUCUGCCCCAGGUGUAAUGCAAUUGGGCUGAUAUCAGGACUGAUGCUUUCUUCUCUAUCCUCCCAUCAGUCAAGCUCUUCAUCACACAUACCCCCUUGAUUUUUUAACUGUGAGUGAGAAAGAAUGAAAAUGAAAUUGCUGCAAUAUCUGGACCACAUAAAACCCCAAUAAUCCUGUGUCUAUGUUCUUUAACUUCUGCCCUUAUUGGAGGCAUCCCUUGUCCAGUGUGAAGUGGAACUGAGAGUGACUGGGGGAAACAGACAGUGUGUUUAAGUAUUUGUAAAUCAUGAGCCUUGUGAGGUUUUGUAAUAAUCUUACUGCCUAUUUUGUGUUUUUGUGUAUUCGUCUAGCAACUGAUGAUAUCAAAAACAGAGAGAUCAGGAGGCUGAUAUUACACGCUAAGUCUGUUCUGUAAAAUCUCAGUAGCCUUUUGGUGCAUGGAACUUCGGCACACGCAAACUGUGACUGCAGCGACGUCCUCAACGUGAAGUUAACAGUUAAAGAUGGUAUCUGUAAGCACAGGGAGCCUCCAGACCCUGCCUGUAGGACGGACCUGUCUAUGGGCCUCCUCACUUGAUGCAAAGAUGGAGAUAGUGCAAACCACGGCAUGUUUAGCCCCACCUAUGAAUUGACACUUUAAUGUCACCUCGCUGAGGUAGAACAACAGCCAGUGUGGGUAAGGGCAGUGCAUUCAAAUGGGCGGAAAAACAAUUGGUAACAUUUCUACUUGGCCUGCCUAAUUCCAUAACAGUGCUGCUUCACUGAAAGGCAUACACGAAGCUCCAUCGCAAGAGGGACUGCUGGCAAAGCACACCACAGCCUUCUGACCUUGUUUAGCUCUAACUGGAUUAAACAUAUGGGAUCGCAGCACUCAUGGGAGAUGAGGGCUCUUCCACCAUCUCCUGGUCUGCCUGCUCGGUUUCCUUUUCCGUUCUGCUAUGCUUCAUUGAAGGCAGAAAUAACGUCCGUAUGCGGUAGCUCUGAUUCAGUGUUACUCUGGCAGGUUGUGUUUAAGCUGGGUUCCCUAGAUUACUGGAUCUGCGUUUGCCCAUGGCAGAUUUAUUUAAUCAGAACUGCAACCAUCGUUCAUUUUUGGAGUGCAGAGCCCUGGAAACCACGCUGGACUCCGUUUCGGCAAAUUUAAGCAUUUAUUCCCAUUUACCGCUGUCCAAAUUUCCUGAGAGAAAUAAAGCGGCGUUUGAAGUGGAGCACGCGGUUAGAACGACGCGCACCGCACACGUCUGCCAAGGGCAGCAGGACGGGAUCCCAACCCGGGCAGCCUCCGCUGCAGCGAGCAAAACCCGGGAGCAGCGGGACGGCCGCAGCGCUGCGCGGAGCACCGCCGGGAGAACCCACGGGAAGCGGCUGAAGCGAGGAGGGGUCGCAGCCCCACAGAGCCCGCGAGGCGCCCGGUGCCGAACGGCCGUACUCGUGACCCGAGGAGCGGCUCCAGGAGACGGGAAGCCACGUGUGGCCGCGGAAGCGGGAACGCGCACGCAGCGCUGACCGCGGAGCCGCGCGGAAGCCCGCCCCGCUGCGAGGAGUGGCUCUAGGGUCGGCCCGGAACAACGUCCCCUGCCCUCGUACCGGGCCCGCAGCCCUCCUGGAGCCGCCGCCUGAUGCCGCCGUGGCCCCGCCCGGCGCGGACUCCAUUUCCUGCCCCGCCGUCACCUGACGCCUCUAAUGGCGCCGCUCGGCCCGCG